ensembl:lncRNA
CCACAAAUAGCCAGUUAAUAGGUAUCAAAUCAUCCAUCUGGCUCUCAAGGCCCUUGGCAUGUCACUCUUUUCUCUCCUCCACGUCCUUGAGAACAAACACAGUAGGCUCAACGCCAUGGUCAGUACAGACCUACAGGUGUCAAAAGUUGAUAUCAACAUGGACUAGAGUGUGGUCUUGUCUGAGGGUCCAUGAAAGCUGUUGUCCAUUUGAAGACUUUGUGAUCCUGCCCUCACUCAAGCCCCUCCUGAAUCAGUACACAGUCUCCGACCUGCCUGCCUCCUUAGUCCUGCCCAAAUCAGUCCAGCCCUGGUGCAUAAGUGACUAUGUUACAACCACAAAAAUAUAACCAUGUUAUUUCUCAGCUUUAAACUAACAUCUCCCAGUGCUUUCUGGCUGAAGUCCUAAUUUAUUAGCACGGCAUCAGCCCUUCAUGUUCUAGUCCUUUCUUUGCCCUCCAAUCUCACUUCUUACCACCCAACAUGUCAUAUCUCCAUAUAUCCAG